rnacentral:rRNA from 1 species
GUCUACGGCCAUGCCACCCUGAACACGCCCGAUCUCUUCUGCCCUCGAAAGUUAAGCAGGGUCAGGCCUGCUUAGUACUUAGAUGGGAGACCACUUAGGAAGACCAGGUGCCGUAGAUG